rnacentral:rRNA from 1 species
UCUCCUGCAGCGAGCUCUCUGCAACUCUCACAUGUUCGCCCACUGAAGCUAAGCAGGGCUGCGCUCGGUCUGUACCUGGAUGGGAGACCACAUGGGAAAGCUAGUUAGUGAGGC